rnacentral:lncRNA from 1 species
UUUGUUAUUCUCGUGGGAUUUUGUCUGAUGCUUGGUCCGUUUCUGUGUGUGUUAGUUACAUUGUAGUGUUGUGUCGUUGUUCUCCUUAUAUUUAUAUAUUUAUGCGUUUCCCUCAGUUUUAGUUUGUUACCCCGAUUUUGUUUUUUGUCCAUGGAUUUAUGAGUUUGAACAGCGGUAUACUACUGUUGCCUUUAUUUAUUAAAGAAAAUCGUGAAUAUUAUCCA